rnacentral:rRNA from 1 species
UACGGGGGGUGCGAGCGUUGUCCGGAAUCACUGGGCGUAAAGGGCGCGUAGGUGGCCUGAUAAGGGUGUGGUGAAAGUCCGGGGCUUAACCCCGGAUCUGCCGUGCCGACUGUUAGGCUAGAGUGCUGUAGGGGCAGGCGGAAUUCCGGGUGUAGCGGUGGAAUGCGUAGAGAUCCGGAGGAAGACCGGUGGCGAAGGCGGCCUGCUGGGCAGAUACUGACACUGAGGCGCGACAGCGUGGGGGAGCAAACAGGG